rnacentral:rRNA from 1 species
GACGAACGCUGGCGGCGUGCCUAAUACAUGCAAGUAGAACGCUGAAGAGAGGAGCUUGCUCUUCUUGGAUGAGUUGCGAACGGGUGAGUAACGCGUAGGUAACCUGCCUUGUAGCGGGGGAUAACUAUUGGAAACGAUAGCUAAUACCGCAUAACAAUGGAUGACACAUGUCAUUUAUUUGAAAGGGGCAAUUGCUCCACUACAAGAUGGACCUGCGUUGUAUUAGCUAGUAGGUGAGGUAAUGGCUCACCUAGGCGACGAUACGUAGCCGACCUGAGAGGGUGAUCGGCCACACUGGGACUGAGACACGGCCCAGACUCCUACGGGAGGCAGCAGUAGGGAAUCUUCGGCAAUGGGGGCAACCCUGACCGAGCAACGCCGCGUGAGUGAAGAAGGUUUUCGGAUCGUAAAGCUCUGUUGUAAGUCAAGAACGGGUGUGAGAGUGGAAAGUUCACACUGUGACGGUAGCUUACCAGAAAGGGACGGCUAACUACGUG